ACUGUUUAUUAACAUUCUUGUUGGGCACCUCAGAAGCUCCUGGAGGGCUAGCUGGUCUACGGGCACCACAUUGAUGACGCCUGGUUUAGAGACUGUCUUUCAUCCACCUUUGUGCCUUUCCCAACAUAUAGUGGAGUGCAUACAUGCAAAAUCACCACAAAAUGGUUCACUUUGGUAUGCAAGUAUGGAAAUUGGCACAGAUGUUCAUUAGAAUGCACCCCAUCAGCUAAGGGCGUUUACCACCCAAAAUCCAAGCCAUUUUUCAAGAGGGCCACCCUCUGCACUUGUAAACAAGGCCAAGAAUAGUUUAAUUAAUGAUGCAAUCGUGCAAUUAGUUUGAAAUGAAAUGAAAUGUUUCUUUGUAUGCACUCAGGCAAAAACUCAGUGCAGUGGAAUGCCCGGAGGUCCUGGUCAACAAAAGAAAAGGGAAGUGACCGAACCUGAAGAAGUCAAACUACUGUCCGGAUCCUCCACAAGGGCAAAAUGCUGGAGUGAUGGAGGGGCAUUUAGAUGGAGGUAAUGAAGAAAGACCCAGACAACACAACAGUGGAUGAAGUGAUGUCUGCUACUUUCUCGCUUCGCCGUAAAGAAACAGUUGGGGAUCAACCCAUGGUUGCCGACAGCAUGGAGAGAUGGCCGGCCAUGUUUUCUGAACGACAGGCCCAUGGUGACACACUUGGAGAAGCAACGAAAGACAUCCACCUUGGAAUUCUGAUUAGCUACGAAGUCAACCAGGAGGGAGCCUUUCCAGCAGCUUGUUUCGGAAGUUGUGGACUCGAGCUGAGGCGUUGUCUGGUUGUAUUUUCACUACCACACGUUGCAGAAACGAAUACGUACUUCAUGGCGCUCGGACACUGCAGGUUAACCGCAUAUAUUAUGCCUAACAGCAUGGCCACACCGUUGCCAUAUCGUUUAAAAUUGUGUAGCACAACG